CCUUCCUUUAGUGAUCAUUAACCUUGUGUUUAAAUUUCAUAGAUUUCUAUUUACUUAUACUAAAGUUAUGGUGCGAAAACCAAGAAUAAUGCUUACUUGGGCCCCUUUUUGGCACUUAAUUCCUAAACUGUUCAGACCUCAACUCCCAAAAUCAAUCCCAACCUUCCUUUUGUGGUCAUAAACCUUGUGUUUAAAUUUCAUUGAUUUCUAUUUACUUAUACUAAAGUUAUAGUGCGAAAACGAAGAAUAAUGCUUAUUUGGGCCCUUUUUUGGCCCCUAAUUCCUAAACUGUUUGAACUAAAACUCCCAAAAUCAAUCCCAACCUUCCUUUUGUGGUCAUAAACCUUGUGUCAAAAUUUCAUAGAUUUCUAUUUACUUAAACUAAAGUUAUAGUGCGAAAACCAAGAAAAUGCUUAUUUGGGCCCUUUUUGGCCCCUAAUUCCUAAAAUGUUGGGACCAAAACUCCCAAAAUCAAUCCCAACCUUCCUUUUGUGGUCAUAAACCUUGUGUUAAAAUUUCAUAGAUUUCUAUUCACUUUUACUAAAGUUAGAGUGCGAAAACUAAAAGUAUUCGGACGACGACGCAGACGACGACGCCAACGUGAUACCAAUAUACGACCAAAAUUUUUUUAAUUUUUGCGGUCGUAUAAAAACCAAU
rnacentral:lncRNA from 1 species